GCUGGCGCUGGUUGCCUUAUGGCAGGUUGCCUUUUCCUGCUGUAAACGCGCAAGGCUAACCACAAACACUCUACUUCACGAUGUAAGGAUUCAUUUAGGGACUCAUUUGUCAUGGAGAUCAUCAGCUCCUGCCACAAAGCUGCUCUCAAAUGUGCCCAGAAGCCGAGUGACAUUCUCUCAGCCCCUGCCAAGCUGGCCUCUCGGACCCGACCAUCUGCUACAAAUUUAGAAUUCCCGGAGGGUGGGGGACAGGCUCCCCUGGGCUCUGGGAAGCCCAAGUGUCAACGCCCUCUGCUCUUUCUGACGCAUUUCACGGAGGAGGGCUCAUCCCCAUUUGUCAGGUGCAGAGACUGAGGCCCUGGUAGAAGCGGCCUGGCCCGGUCUGAGGCUCACCCUGCAUCAGCAUUGGAUGGAGGUGGACCAGAGGUGAGAAGAUGGUGAGGAAGAAAGUUCUCCUUUUAUCACAUGACACACUCAUCUUUCGUUGUUCCUCCUGUAACCAACCCCCCCCCCCCCCCACCACCAGUGGAGGAAAAGCCAGAUGGGUCCAAGGCCUGUUGUGAAAUUUUCCAAACAGUGCUUGAUGUAAUCUUUAAUUAAGAUGUGAAUGUGGGCCAUAGGACUCAUUCCACAAAAGUCUCCAAAGCGGGGACCUUCAGAGGUUAUUGAAUUGACUUCUAUCUGGCCCCCUACCCCAGGUACAGAUGGGAAGACGGAAGAGGGGGCCAGUAUAGGCACUGUGAGGAACGGUGAUUUUUAGAUCGAGGUACAGAGACUCACGGUAACCCCCCGGCACCCGCGGGCCACCACUCUCUCCCCUUAAAUACCUGCCUCCUCUCCUCCGAAACUUCACAUGAGGGUCCAGCAAGAGGAAAUAAAGCCCCUGGAAACCAA